CCAAUGAUCCCCUUUCUUGCAGCAAAAGAGAUGGGAGCAGGGAUAAGAGUCUCUACGGCAUUUUAUUAAUGGAGUUAAGAGCCUCGUACGCACGACUAGCUGGACGCAAACACUGUGCUUGUUUCUUUCCUCCCCCAAGGCUGUGGGGUGAAAGGGGGGCGACCCAUCGCUUAGGUUGCGGAGACCUCCUUCGAGCCGGAGCCGUGGUUUCGCCCAGCUGCGGAGCGGCCUGCCUCCUAGCACAGAAACAGCAGUCAUCCUCUGGGCUUUACAGAGCCAAGAGCUCGUCUGCCUGCUCGCGAGCGCCCCGUCAACGCGUCUCAGGGAAACCUGGUUGCCCUCUGAUGCCCGGGGGCAGAGCGGUAUGUCCCCACCACCACCAAGAUGUCACGUAUAGCUGCCAUCACUCUUUUACCRAACACCACGUGGUCCUGGGGUGGAGCGGCCAGAGGCAGCCCACGGCAUCCUGCGGUGCAAAGCACGGCUGUGURUCACUGGUGCAGGGACCGUUUUGACCAAAGGUCCACCCUGCCCCUGCACACAGACCAAAGUCUGCAGAGAUGGGCGGUGACGCGCUGGCUGACCCCUCCGCUCUCUUCCAGCCUCGCUUUUAUAUGGAAAUACCUGCACRUACUUGUAAACUCCUGGCUUUAGUUUUCUAUGGUGGCAAGUGCCACGUCCYGGUCGUGCAUUGUGUGAAACGUGGCUUCCUUUCAUUGUAACUGAAGUUCCUUUCUUUUUUUGCUCCUGCUCAUUUUUCUCAUUAUUUCCUCAAGUAUUGUGGGUUUUUGUGUAGGGACAAGAAGACACACCUUCUGCAUGUGACACUGUUUUUUAUCUGUCUAUACAUCUCCUGCUUUUCUGAAUCCAUCUCCUCCCGCUUUUCUGAAUCCAUCUCCUCCCGCUUUUCUGAAUCCCUCAGUAUGUAUUUUUUCCAAAGUUUACAUGAAUAUCCUGGAGUUUAAAGAUAUCUUUUUAAAGGCGGGUGUGCAAAUUAAAGGAGAGUUUGUGUUAUCCGGUGACAGCAGAAUCUAUACAGUAUAUUAAUAGUCCAUUUAUAUUAUUCAUAACCCAAGAUGAGUGUAUUUACAUCACUUUGACUUAAACUUCAAUUUUAAUCCUAACUUAAAYGAUCAAGGAAUAAACCUUAUUUUAAAGAGCUGA
rnacentral:lncRNA from 1 species